UACGGAGGGUGCAAGCGUUACUCGGAAUCACUGGGCGUAAAGCGCGCGCAGGCGGUCUUUUAAGUUGGAUGUGAAAGCCUACGGCUCAACCGUAGAACUGCAUCCAAAACUAUUAGACUAGAGUGUGGGAGAGGAAGAUGGAAUUAGUUGUGUAGGGGUAAAAUCCGUAGAGAUAACUAGGAAUACCAAAAGCGAAGGCAAUCUUCUGGAACACUACUGACGCUGAGGCGCGAAAGCGUGGGGAGCAAACAGGAUUAGAAACCCCAGUAGUCC
rnacentral:rRNA from 1 species